rnacentral:rRNA from 1 species
AUGGAUUGAAACCCUAAGGUACUUUGUUGGAAUGUGCGGGGGCUUAAUAACCCGGCCAAAAGGAAUGCGGUGAGGGAGUUUGUGGGAGAGGCUAAGGUUAACAUUGUAGGUCUACAAGAGAUGAAGCUCGAUGUAAUUGACUCUUAUAUUGCUAUGCAAAGUUUGGGGCCAUCUUUUGAUGACUUCGCUUACGUGCCGGCGGUGGAGACCCGAGGGGGUAUUCUAUUG